rnacentral:snRNA from 1 species
GUGCUCACUUCAGCAGCACAUAUACUAAAAUUGGAACGACACGGAGAAGAUCAGCGUGGACCCUGUACGAGGAUGACAUGGAAAUUUGCGAAGCGUACCAUAUUAAA